rnacentral:lncRNA from 1 species
UGAUAUCAGGCACUGUGGAUAUUACUUCUAGUUGAAGUUAAUUAUUUUGGUGGCAAAUUAAGAUUCAUUUAUAAAAAGAUGUUUAAAGCUUGGACUAGAAAAUAUUCAUUGAAAUCUGUAUGUGGAUCAUGCAUGGAACUCGUAUAUAGAAGAAAAAUAUACUUGGGGAUGAGACUUAAGAAUUCUUAUUUGGCUCUACUUGAGACUUGAAACAAUUAAGAUUGAUAUUUUGAUGGAAAGUCAAUUAGU